rnacentral:rRNA from 1 species
UGAAUACGAGAUGCUACGGCGUCGAAGCAGUCUAUGUCAUACUUCCAAGAAAAGCUUGCACUGUCAUAAACAAAUAAUGCCUGUACCAUAACCGACACAGGUGGGUAGGUAGAGUAUACUAAGGGGCGCGAGAUAACUCUCUCUAAGGAACUCGGCAAAAUGACUCCGUAACUUCGGGAGAAGGAGUGCCUUAUUUAUAAGGUUGCAAUAACAAGAUCCAAGCAACUGUUUACCAAAAACACAGGUCUCCGCUAAGUCGCAAGACGAUGUAUGGGGGCUGACGCCUGCCCAGUGCCAGAAGGUUAAAGAAGUUGGUUAGCAUCCGCGAAGCUGAUAACUGAAGCCCUGGUGAACGGCGGCCGUAACUAUAACGGUCCUAAGGUAGCGAAAUUCCUUGUCGGGUAAGUUCCGACCCGCACGAAAGGCGUAAUGAUUUGGAUACUGUCUCGGAGAGGGGCUCGGUGAAAUAGACUUGUCUGUGAAGAUGCGGACUACCUGCACCAGGACAGAAAGACCCUAUGAAGCUUUACUGUAACCUGAAAUUGAAAUUGGACUUUACUUGCGCAGUAUAGGUGGGAGGCGUUGAGAAUAUUCUUGCGGGAUUAUUGGAGCCAUCAGUGAGAUACCACUCUUGUAAUGUUAGAUUUCUAACUUUGUAUCAUUAUCUGGUCAAAGAACAGUUUCAGGCGGGCAGUUUGACUGGGGCGGUCGCCUCCUAAACGGUAACGGAGGCGCACAAAGGUUUCCUCUGAACGGGUAGAAAUCGUAUCUAGAGUGUAAAGGCAUAAGGAAGCUUGACUGUGAGACCUACAAGUCGAGCAGGGACGAAAGUCGGUCUUAGUGAUCUGACGGUGCUGAGUGGAAAGGCCGUCACUCAACGGAUAAAAGUUACUCUAGGAUAACAGGCUGAUCUCCCCCAAGAGUUCACAUCGACGGGGAGGUUUGGCACCUCGAUGUCGGCUCAUCGCAUCCUGGGGCGGUAGUACGUCCCAAGGGUUGGGCUGUUCGCCCAUGAAAGCGGUACGCGAGCUGGGUUCAGAACGUCGUGAGACAGUUCGGUCCAUAUCCGGUGUAGGCGUUAGAAUAUUGAGAGGAGCCUUCUUUAGUACGAGAGGACCGAGAAGGACAUACCUCUGGUGUACCAGUUAUCGUGCCAACGGUAAACGCUGGGUAGCUAUGUGUGGAGUGGAUAACCGCUGAAAGCAUCUAAGUGGGAAGCCCACCUCAAGAUAAGUAUUCUCAC